AAUGACACGGAGACGUGAGGAGACCCCCUUGACUUAAGCAUAUCAGUAAGGGGAGGAGAAGAAACCAAAUGGGAUGUCCUGAGUAGCGGCGAGUGAAGUGGACGAAGUCUAUGUGGUAACUGCGCAAGCAGGUUGUGUAGUAACGCUUUUAGCAGCAGAAAUCAAUAGGAAAGUUGAUGGCGGAGAGGGGGAAUGACCUGUAUGCAUGCUUAGUGAUUAAUGAAGAGUAGGGCUGCUUGGGAGUGCAGUCUGAAAAGGGUGGUGGUUUCCAUCGAAGACUAAAUAUGGUAGAUGACCGAUAGAGAAGAAGUAGGGAGACCGAAAGCAGAAGAAAGGAAGGAUGAAGAAUGAAAGUGUGUGAAUGUAUGGGAGUGAUUGCCCACCCGUCUUGAAACACGGACCAAGGAGACGACGGAUGCAUUGUGUGGCGAGAGCGAAGAGAAUGUAUGAGUCGGACCCGAAAGGCAGUGAGCUAUGUGUGUCUGGAUUGAAGGGUGGCGAAAGCCUACUGGAGGAUCCUAGUUGUUCUGACGUGCAACUCGAUGAUGUGAGAUGUGCAUAGCGGCGAAAGACCAAUCGAACUGCCUGGUAGCUGGUUCCCCCUGAAAUGUCUCUCAGGACAGCGGUGACGAGAAGAUAGUGCGAUGGAGUAAAGCGACCGAGUUGAUAUUGAGACGAACUCUGAAUGUGUUGUGGAUGCAAGUUGCUAGUGGGCAUACGGUGGUAAGCAUGGUAUGCGAGGAGGAAUGAACCUUGAGGAAUGAUAAGGGGCCUAAGUAAGCAGUGAGUGAACUAUUAGUGCUGGUUGAGACAGUUGGACGGUGGCCAUGGAGGUAGGCAUCCGCUAAGAAACGUGUUACGACGUACCGACCGAACUGGCAUGAUGGGAAAAUGGAAGGGAUUUUAGCUUUGAGACCGAUGCAUUUAUACUAUUUGUAAGUGAAUGGUUAGUAAGGGGGUAACAAUAUUUCUGAGAAGGGUAUACGUGAGUGUAUGUGGAGGGGUAUUGUGAGCGGAUCUUGGUGGUAGUAGCAGGAAAUGAUUUGUGCGAAUGGACGAGGGUUUCUACUUGUAUAGUGGAGUGAAACGGCGGUUGAGACGGAGAUUGAUUGAGAGUUUGAUGUAGAUGUAUUGAGAGGAGACUUGAGGAUGACGGAUGGAAGUAGCUCUUGUAUAGGAAGAUAGAACUAUAUAUGUAUGUGUUCAGAGAUGGAUGUGUGAUGAGUGUGGAGUGUUAAGCAAGGAAGCAGUUAUUAUGGAGUGUGGAAGUCCCGAUGAAAAAGCAAUAUAUUUGCCGUACCUAGACCGCAUCAGGUGUCCAUGGUGAGUAACAAGAGCACGGAGAGUAGAGAACGGUUGUAAGGGAAGUCGGCAAGGAGGAUGUGUAACUUUGGGAGAAGGAUUGGCUCUAGCAUGCUAGAACUGAUGGAGAAGCGGGGAAUCUGACUGUUUAGUAAAAACAUAGCUUUCUGGAGACGGUAAGUGAAUUCUGCCCAGUGCAUUUGUAGUGAAUUGUGUAGAAGCGGAAGCGAGUGUAAACGGCGGGAGUAACUAUGACUCUCUUAAGGUAGCCAAAUGCCUCGUCAUCUAAUUAGUGACGCGCAUGAAUGGAGCAACGGGAUUCCCACUGUCCCUAUGACUGACACUGUGAACCCACGGCCAAGGGAACGGGCUUGGCAUUUAACAGCGGGGAAAGAAGACCCUGUUGAGCUUGACUCUAGUAUGUGUGAAGUGACGAACGGCAUGACGAAGAGAGGUGGGGAGAAGGUGCAAGACCACUGUUUUGCUUGUUCGGCGGUUUAUGAUGAUUGAUGCAUAUGGGGAGUUUGGCUGGGGCGGCACGACUGCUAUAAUAUAACGCAGACGUCCUAAGGUGGGAUCAGCGGGGAGGGAAACCACGCGUGGAGUACAAGGGCAGAAGCCUGCCUGAGACUAUCCCUUGCGAGGGAUGGUUGGGGGAAACCCGGGCCUAGAGAUCCCGUGUCCUGUGAAAGGUUGGGACACGGGUGACGGAAAAGUUACCACAGGGAUAACUGGCUUGUAGCGGCCGAGCGACCAUAGCGACGCAGCUUUUUGAUUCUUCGAUGUCGGCUCUUCCUAUCAUCGUGAAGCAGGAAUUACGAAGUGUUGGAUUGUUCACCCACCAACAGGGAACGUGAGCUGGGUUUAGACCGUCGUGAGACAGGUUAGUUUUACCCUACUGUGUUGGAGGUAACAGCAGGGCGGGAUAGUACGAGAGGAACUCCUGGCCGCGACCUCUGGUGAAGCGAUCUGCCUGUAGGUAGUUGCGUGGCUACGUCGUGCGUAUAACGGCUGAAGGCCUCUAAGCCGGAAGACGGACUGUUACUACUGUAGUGCGGAGGACGACCGUGUGAAUAUGCACGCUGUGCGGAUGGAGGAGUAUUCCGACAUCUUGAGGCGAUGCAAGUGUGUAUCCUGUGUGGACAGGUCUAGGUGAGGUGUAUAGUUAUCUAUUUAUUUUAUUUUAUUUUAUUUUAUCAGUUAGAUCAGGUUGGAUCAGUUUCUGUGGAUGAGUAGGUGUAUGGUUAUCAGUUGGAUCAGUUUCUGUGGAUGAGUAGGUGGUUAUCAUUCACUUAUUGUAGAUUAUUCUUUGUUCAUCUCUUGAC
rfam:Ordospora colligata OC4 contig_15, whole genome shotgun sequence.